GAUGAACGCUGGCGGCGUGCCUAAUACAUGCAAGUCGAGCGAACGGACGAGAAGCUUGCUUUUCUGAUGUUAGCGGCGGACGGGUGAGUAACACGUGGAUAACCUACCUAUAAGACUGGGAUAACUUCGGGAAACCGGAGCUAAUACCGGAUAAUAUUUUGAACCGCAUGGUUCAAAAGUGAAAGACGGUCUUGCUGUCACUUAUAGAUGGAUCCGCGCUGCAUUAGCUAGUUGGUAAGGUAACGGCUUACCAAGGCAACGAUGCAUAGCCGACCUGAGAGGGUGAUCGGCCACACUGGAACUGAGACACGGUCCAGACUCCUACGGGAGGCAGCAGUAGGGAAUCUUCCGCAAAGGGCGAAAGCCUGACGGAGCAACGCCGCGUGAGUGAUGAAGGUCUUCGGAUCGUAAAGCUCUGUUAUUAGGGAAGAACAUAUGUGUAAGUAACUGUGCACAUCUUGACGGUACCUAAUCAGAAAGCCACGGCUAACUACGUG
rnacentral:rRNA from 1 species